AGACUGCAGGGCCUGGGUUUGUUUCCUAGUAAUAGAGUUUGCUAUCCCAAAGGCUGAGCAGCCAGGGGCUCUGCACCUAUUACAUACACAGCUUCUACCUGUGUCAGGUACAGCAUUGUGUUCCUUUGUCUCUUAAUGGUUGCAUUCUUGAUUUCCUCCAGCCCCUACCUCAUCUAACUGGAUGCCCCUGCUGUCUCCGGCUUUGAAAAACACUUGCUGUUGGUUCUCUGGCUAGGUUGGGGAGUCCCAGCAGGGUCAUCCUAGGAACCCAGUGGCCUGCCAGGGAGCUGCAGGGCUGUGGUGUGACCUUGUUACUUCUAUGAUUUCUGCCCAAUUUAGUCCGAAUAAUUUUCAUGCUCAAAACGAGGGAAACAUGGCUGUAGGUGUGUCUGUAGGUGUGGUCAUAGGUAUGUAGGUGUGGUCAUAGGUAUGUAGGUGUGGUCAUAGGUAGGCAGGUGUGUCUGUAGAUGUGGUCAUAGGUAUGCAGGUGUGUCUGUAGGUGUGGUCAUAGGUAUGUAGGUGUGGUCAUAGGUAUGCAGGUGUGUCUGUGGGUGUGGUCAUAGGUAUACAGGUAUGUCUGUAGGUGUGGUCAUAGGUAUACAGGUGUGUCUGUAGGUGUGGUCAUAGGUAGGCAGGUGUGUCUGUAGAUGUGGUCAUAGGUAUGCAGGUGUGUCUGUAGGUGUGAUCAUAGGUAUGUAGGUGUGGUCAUAGGUAUGUAGGUGUGGUCAUAGGUAUGUAGGUGUGGUCAUAGGUGUGGAUGUAGGUGUCUGUAGG
rnacentral:sRNA from 1 species